AACAACCAAGCGGGCACAGGCUUGGUGUCAGAGUAAGAACAACAUCCCGUACUUUGAGACCAGUGCAAAGGAGGCCAUCAAUGUAGAGCAGGCUUUCCAGACCAUCGCGCGCAAUGCACUCAAACAGGAAACCGAAGUGGAGUUAUACAACGAGUUCCCCGAGCCAAUUAAACUAGACCGGAACGAUAGAGCCAAGCCAUCAGCAGAGACUUGUAGUUGCUGAGGACCUCCAGGGGGCGCAGCGUUUCACCCUCAGCCUCUCUGGCCUUGUCUCUGCCUCACUCCCUCUCUUUCAUGCGUUCUUUCUUUCACCCGAUCUUCAUCUCCUUCCCUCCCCUUAACUCUAUAAUCACUGGCCUUUGUAGAUGAGCAGACUUCCUCUCAUUCAGUAUCCUACACAGUUCACAUUCACAGCCUUAGUCACGACACAACACACACACCCACAUAUGCUCGAGGCUCAAUCUGACACCCGUUUUCGUACACAAAUCUCAACACCUCGCACCGGUUCUGCAGAACUGUCGCCUCACCCACAUAAAAAGUCCUACUGGAACUCUUCACAACACUUGAAUGGAUUUUUUUUAAUAUGAUCCAGUCCUGCAGUGCAGUUGUAAUACAUGUGACGUGAAACGCUGAAAGAUGGGGGGUGUAUCAGAGGUCUACGUUGGUACCAGAACUACCCAUCAUGUUCAACUGCUUCAUCAUUCUGCUUGAAAUAAAAUGGCGGCCUGACGUAAAGCAUGCUACAUUUGCAUCUUAAAGUCGUGAACCCAAAAACGCUCCUCAGUUUGUGAAGUCCCGAAGCACUGGAGGUCUAACACUGCCCCCGCUGUUACAUCUGAGAACUGCAGUCAAUUAAUCCAGUGUACGCCCAAUCAGUCCUCAAAAUGGAACACAAAAACACGAAUAGCAAACCAUGCGAUGGGGAAAUUUAGAUAUUACAUCUAAAUGAUCUACAAUUCAUACUAUUAUGACAAUUAGUAUUUCUGUGUAUUUUUUUAUCGUCGAUCCUCAUGUCAGCAUGACCAAAUCACCGCGAGUCUGCCGUGAACAAGUAGUGGCGUAGGCCAUCUCUUGUCGUUUUUGUUUUUUCUAUUCUUUCAUAUCUUGCCCAGACUCUACCAGUAGAUCAGGAUGGUAGAGAAUUUAAGCGCUCAGUAUCACUCGGAUCUUUUCCUGUCUGUAUGUUCAUUAUUAUUGUAAUUAUUUUAUUAUUAUCUGUGUUGCAUUAUAUACAAAUAAACACAACUAGACAACAUUGGGGGAAAACUGAAUUGUUCAUGGCAUUUAAUGAAACAAAAUGCACAGCAUAUACAUUGUUCAAGAUAAAUGUAUUUCAAAGUAAUGGAAAUAAAAUUAAGUUGUUGAAUAAAA